AAAAACAUAGAUAACAAAGGUAUAAGACUAAAAAUAGAAAAAGUAAAAAGAGAGAGAUGACAUACAAAUGCCGAUAUAUUCUCGAGCGUGCCUCUAUGUUCAUCGCCCAUAGUCAACAAAGACAUGAUUUGAUUUUGCAAAGCUUGAGUGUGGUAGAGGAAACAAGUGUGGUAGAAGAAUAUAAUGAGUAUUGAUGAAGAUAUUUGAUAUUGUUGAUAUGAGAGGCUAUUUAUAGAUGAAUGAGUGAGUAGGUUUGCAAC
rnacentral:lncRNA from 1 species